GACGAACGCUGGCAGCGUGCUUAACACAUGCAAGUCGAACGAAGAGCGAUGGAAGCUUGCUUCUAUCAAUCUUAGUGGCGAACGGGUGAGUAACGCGUAAUCAACCUGCCCUUCAGAGGGGGACAACAGUUGGAAACGACUGCUAAUACCGCAUACGAUCUAAUCUCGGCAUCGAGGAUAGAUGAAAGGUGGCCUCUACAUGUAAGCUAUCACUGAAGGAGGGGAUUGCGUCUGAUUAGCUAGUUGGAGGGGUAACGGCCCACCAAGGCGAUGAUCAGUAGCCGGUCUGAGAGGAUGAACGGCCACAUUGGGACUGAGACACGGCCCAGACUCCUACGGGAGGCAGCAGUGGGGAAUCUUCCGCAAUGGACGAAAGUCUGACGGAGCAACGCCGCGUGAGUGAUGACGGCCUUCGGGUUGUAAAGCUCUGUUAAUCGGGACGAAAGGCCUUCUUGCGAACAGUUAGAAGGAUUGACGGUACCGGAAUAGAAAGCCACGGCUAACUACGUG
rnacentral:rRNA from 1 species